rnacentral:lncRNA from 1 species
CCCAUUACAUCUAAGUUCAAAAAUAAACAAACUAAAACAUACAUACCUAUGAAAAAAACCUAACCAAGACCAAGCCCAACCCUCCUUAAUAAAAGGUUCAAAGCCCAAACAAACAAGUCUUGAAAGAGAUAACCCUAAGAAGCCAGUUAAUCCGAAAAGGGGGAAGUAUCCGACAAGCCCACAUCUUGUGCGCCACUCGAGAAACUUCGUCAACGCUGCAGCAGCCUAGAGAAACCAUUAUGGAUGACCAAAAACUAUUCUCCAACAACCUCAAACUACCAAAAGAAGUGACUUUAAGAGAACUAGAGGGAUAGCAACCAAACACUUAUGGCACAUAUGAUGGCAAGAUCAUAUCAAAAGCAUCAACAAAAGCACAACACAGGAUCUCGAUCUCAACACCUUAACGAACUUCGACAAGGACAAGACAGAAGCAGAGUUCAGAGAUUGGAGCAACCCACCAGAAGGGCAUUGUAAACCUUACUGAGCUAACCAUCCGAGGUGCAUCCCUGGAAUAAAAGCAUCUCUGACCUCCCGAAGCAAGGAUAGCGCUGAGAAAUCAGAUCUGGGACCAUAGAGGCAGAUGAACCUGCAUGCAAGACCAACUAAACAUCCAAGACAAGAAAAAGAACACAAGAAUUGCAGAUCUAUAGAUCUCUUGCCCAUUCACUGCCAGAUCUGCUAUUCCCAAACCAAGAAAAGCAAGAAAUAAAAACAACCGCUGAGAAGUGGGGAGGAUACCCACACUCUGGGCGAUGAGGAAGAAGCUACCGCUUCCUGGGCUGUAGGGGAGGAGACUAAGUUCCGAAAACCAGAAAAGAUUCAGUGGAAAAAUCCCUCCCUAGAAACUAGAGGGCGGAGAAAAAUAUUUAAGCUUAUGGUUUGUUGAAAGCAAGAUGAUCCUCUCUUUAUUUGCAUAUCUACGGGACUUGAACAUGCACACAACUAACUAUCAAUACUUUUUGUAGCCAAGAUUUACUAAAUACCCUUAUUUGUUUUCAUCAUCACUUUUUUUAUAUACUUUUUUUUUUCAGUAACGGAUAUAGAAUUUCAAAAUAGGCUAUACUUGGCAAUGUCUAUGUAUUUUUGUUCGUAUUGAUGAACAAUUUUGCUUUAUUUUUUUGCAUUUAAGUGGUAUAUGAAUUUUCAAAAUUUUAAUUUUUUUUAUUAACAUAAGUUUAUUUUCUAAAGAUUUACGGUAAGUGGCGAACCUAUAAUUUCAAAUUGAAGGUGCAAAUUUUAAUUCUCUCUAUCUUAUAAAUAUAAAUUUAAUUUAAUUUCUCAUUUAUUAUAAAAUCACCAUAUUUUUUGAAAAUAUAAUUUAUUCAUUAAUUUACUAAUACAUUCAUAUUUAAAAUUUAAUAAAAAAUAAAAUUUAUGAAUUCUAAAAAUAAUUUACGAAUUUGAGUUGAUUAAUUUUAAAAUAUUAUUAAAUAUUAUAUUCGUUCUAUAAUUUUUAUUCACUUUUCUUUUUUACACAUAUUAGAAAAUACAAAUUUUUUGUUAACUUUUCAAUUAUAUCCAUCUUAAAUACAUUAAAGUUUAUUGAAUAUUAAGAGAUAUUUUGAGAGAUUUCUUAAAAAUAAGACAAAAUUAAAUAUGGUAAAAAUAUUCAAUUUAUACAUUAUUAUAGUCUAAAACAGUAAGGUAGUGAGAUAUGGAGUCGUUUUUGGAAGACGAAGGUGCCUCCUAAAGUGCUUAAUUUCUGCUGGCGUGCUUUAGUUAAUGUUGUUCCUUGCCUCUCUUUGCUUCGGUCCAGGAGAGUUCCGGUUGAUUCGAUGUGUCUGUUGUGUCAUGAGGCUCCUGAGACUGUCUUGCAUAUUCUUGUUUAAUGUCCUUUUGCCCGCAGUUGCUGGUUGAGUU